GCCACACAAGGUUAAAUGCCUCAUUGAUGGGAAUGCUAUUAAUAAGAGAUGCAGAAUGGCUAGCCAUUGUUUGUUUUGAAAUUGAGGAAGUUGGAUUCAUAGAGCUUUGUUGCCUAGCUUCUAGUUGAUGAAAUUGUUGCUACUAAUAAAAAAAUUAAGCUUUGAUACAUUCCAUUUGUGGUUUUCCCAAUUCCAAAGUAGUACAAGGUCAUCGUCAGCCCUUUUAUAGUGCAUCCCUGGCAUCACUGACUAGAGAAAUAGGACCAAAACUGGUGAAGGGAGACCCAACUCGAAAGUCAGAUACCCAGAAGGUUACUCACGUUCACCACCAUCAUGUCAGUACUCCCACCAUUGCUGUCAGCGACAGUGCUUUGAAAUUUACCCGUGUCCUCGACAAUCUCUCCCUAGCUGGUACUCACUUUGUCUAAACUUUCAUAUCUUACAUUUUUAUGAUUAUGAUGAUACAAUAUGAUUGUGAUUUUUUUUCUAUUAUUGACAUUACGGCCUAUGGUCUCCUUCAUA